UACGUAGGGGGCAAGCGUUGUCCGGAUUUAUUGGGCGUAAAGAGCUCGUAGGCGGUUCGGUAAGUCGGGUGUGAAACCUCCAGGCUCAACCUGGAGACGCCACCCGAUACUGCUGUGACUCGAGUCCGGUAGGGGAGCGUGGAAUUCCUGGUGUAGCGGUGAAAUGCGCAGAUAUCAGGAGGAACACCAGCGGCGAAGGCGGCGCUCUGGGCCGGAACUGACGCUGAGGAGCGAAAGCGUGGGUAGCAAACAGG
rnacentral:rRNA from 1 species